rnacentral:rRNA from 1 species
CUACGUGCCAGCAGCCGCGGUAAUACGUAGGUGGCAAGCGUUGUCCGGAAUUAUUGGGCGUAAAGCGCGCGCAGGCGGAUAGGUCAGUCUGUCUUAAAAGUUCGGGGCUUAACCCCGUGAUGGGAUGGAAACUGCCAAUCUAGAGUAUCGGAGAGGAAAGUGGAAUUCCUAGUGUAGCGGUGAAAUGCGUAGAUAUUAGGAAGAACACCAGUGGCGAAGGCGACUUUCUGGACGAAAACUGACGCUGAGGCGCGAAAGCCAGGGGAGCGAACGGGAUUAGAUACCCCGGUAGUCCUGGCCGUAAACGAUGGGUACUAGGUGUAGGAGGUAUCGACCCCUUCUGUGCCGGAGUUAACGCAAUAAGUACCCCGCCUGGGGAGUACGACCGCAAGGUUGAAACUCAAAGGAAUUGACGGGGGCCCGCACAAGCGGUGGAGUAUGUGGUUUAAUUCGACGCAACGCGAAGAACCUUACCAGGUCUUGACAUUGAUGGACAGAACUAGAGAUAG